rnacentral:rRNA from 1 species
UACGUAGGGGGCAAGCGUUGUCCGGAAUUAUUGGGCGUAAAGAGCGCGUAGGCGGUCCGGUAAGUCGGUUGUGAAAGUCGGGGGCUCAACCCUCGGAUGCCGAUCGAUACUGUCAGGCUAGAGUCCGGAAGAGGCGAGUGGAAUUCCUGGUGUAGCGGUGAAAUGCGCAGAUAUCAGGAGGAACACCAAUGGCGAAGGCAGCUCGCUGGGACGGUACUGACGCUGAGGCGCGAAAGCGUGGGGAGCAAACAGG